GACGAAGGGGGCAAGCGUUGUUCGGAAUUACUGGGCGUAAAGGGCUCGUAGGCGGCCAACUAAGUCAGACGUGAAAUCCCUCGGCUUAACCGGGGAACUGCGUCUGAUACUGGUUGGCUUGAAUCCGGGAGAGGGAUGUGGAAUUCCAGGUGUAGCGGUGAAAUGUGUAGAGAUCGGGAGGAACACCGGUGGCGAAGGCGGGUCUCUGGGCCGAUACUGACGCUGAGGAGCGAAAGCGUGGGGAGCGAACAGG
rnacentral:rRNA from 1 species